AAGUCGUAACAAGGUUUCCGUAGGUGAACCUGCGGAAGGAUCAUUAAUGAAAUUAUGACUGGGGUUGUAGCUGGCCUAUAAAACGGCAUGUGCACGCUCCUUUCACAAUCCACACACACCUGUGCACCUUCGCGGGGGUCUUUUUUUCUCUUCGGGGGAAUAAAGGCUCGCGUCCCUUUACACACCCUUUGUAUGUCUUUAAGAAUGUCUACUCGAUGUAAUAAAACGCAUCUAAUACAACUUUCAACAACGGAUCUCUUGGCUCUC
rnacentral:misc_RNA from 1 species